rnacentral:rRNA from 1 species
GGUCAAUGGCCUAACGGCUGAACCAGCAACUUGGGGGAAUGGAUAUAUAUAUUAGAGAUAAUAUAUAGUACCGACUUUGUCGGAUAAAGUUCUAGAUAGAAUAAUGAUAAUGACAAUUUUCUAUCUAUAUGUCUUGACCAAAUCUUGUGCCAGCAGUCGCGGCAACACAAGGGAGACUAGUGUUAUUCAUCUUUAUUAGGUUUAAAGGGUACCUAGACGGUAUAUCAUGCCCCAAAAGGGAACGGAUAUACUAGAGUUUUAUGUGAGAGGCAAAUAUAGUACUAUUGGUGUAGAGAUAAAAUUCAUUGAUACCUCUAGGCACGGGUAACGGCGAAGGCAAUCCUCUAUGUAAAAACUGACGUUGAGGGACGAAGGCUCGGGUAGCGAAUAGGAUUAGAUACCCUAGUAGUCCGGGCAGACAAUUAUGAAUGUCAUAGAUUAGAAAUAUUUGGUCUAUAAAUGAAAGUGUAAGCAUUCCACCUCAAGAGUAAGGCGGCAACGUUGGAACUGAAAUCAUUAGACCGUUUCUGAAACCAGUAGUGAAGUAUGUUAUUUAAUUCGAUGAUCCUCGAAAAACCUUACCACAAUUUGAAUGUUAAUUAAUAAAAUUAACACAUGCGUUGCAUGGCUGUCUUCAGUUAAUGUCGUGAGAUUUGGUUAGAUCCAAAAAAUUAUCGUAAACCCUUGUUCUUUAUUUGUUUGAAUAAUGCAGUUAACCGCUAUAUUGGAUUAUAUAAC